rnacentral:snRNA from 1 species
AUCACUUCUCGGUCUUUUGGCUAAGAUCAAGUGUAGUAUCUGUUCUUAUCAGUUUAAUAUCUGAUACAUCCCCUAUCUGGGAACCAUAUAUUAAAUGGAUGUCUGGAGCUGGAGCUGGGGCUGGAGCAGGGGGGCUGGAGCAGGGGGCUGGGGAUGGAUGUCUGGAGCUGGAGCUGGGGCUCGCUCCGGCCACUCCGCACAUCCA